rnacentral:rRNA from 1 species
UACGAAGGGGGCUAGCGUUGCUCGGAAUCACUGGGCGUAAAGCGCACGUAGGCGGAUUGUUAAGUCAGGGGUGAAAUCCUGGAGCUCAACUCCAGAACUGCCUUUGAUACUGGCGAUCUUGAGUCCGGGAGAGGUUGAUGGAAUUCCAGGUGUAGCGGUGAAAUGCGUAGAUAUCUGGAAGAACACCAGUGGCGAAGGCGGUCAACUGGCCCGUAACUGACGCUGAGGCACGAAAGCGUGGGUAGCGAACAGG